rnacentral:antisense_RNA from 1 species
GUAACAAUCUCAAAAAAAGUGCCUUCUCAAGAUUUCCAUUAUGAGCAAAAAAAAUCCUUCU